UACAGAGGGUGCGAGCGUUUAAUCGGAAUUACUGGGCGUAAAGCGUGCGCAGGCGGUUUUGUAAGUCUGACGUGAAAUCCCCGGGCUCAACCUGGGAAUUGCGUUGGAGACUGCAAGGCUGGAGUCUGGCAGAGGGGGGUAGAAUUCCACGUGUAGCAGUGAAAUGCGUAGAGAUGUGGAGGAACACCGAUGGCGAAGGCAGCCCCCUGGGUCAAGAUUGGACGCUCAUGCACGAAAGGCGU
rnacentral:rRNA from 1 species